rnacentral:rRNA from 1 species
UACGUAGGGUGCAAGCGUUGUCCGGAAUUAUUGGGCGUAAAGAGCUCGUAGGCGGUUUGUCGCGUCGGCUGUGAAAACUCGGGGCUCAACCCCGAGCCUGCAGUCGAUACGGGCAGACUAGAGUGCUGUAGGGGAGACUGGAAUUCCUGGUGUAGCGGUGAAAUGCGCAGAUAUCAGGAGGAACACCAAUGGCGAAGGCAGCGUCGCUGGAACGGUACUGACGCUGAGGUGCGAAAGCGUGGGGAGCAAACAGG